CCUACGGGCUGCACCAGUGGGGAAUAUUGGACAAUGGGCGAAAGCCUGAUCCAGCAAUGCCGCGUGUGUGAAGAAGGUCUCCGGAUUGUAAAGCACUUUCGGUAGGGAGGAAGGUAGUGUAGUUAACACCUGCACUAUUUGACGUUACCUACAGAAGAAGCACCGGCUAACUCCGUGCCAGCAGCCGCGGUAAUACGGAGGGUGCGAGCGUUAAUCGGAAUUACUGGGCGUAAAGCGCAUGCAGGCGGCCUGUUAAGUCAGAUGUGAAAGCCCGGGGCUUAACCUCGGAAUUGCAUUUGAAACUGGCAGGCUAGAGUCUUGUAGAGGGGGGUAGAAUUUCAGGUGUAGCGGUGAAAUGCGUAGAGAUCUGAAGGAAUACCAGUGGCGAAGGCGGCCCCCUGGACAAAGACUGACGCUCAGAUGCGAAAGCGUGGGGAGCAAACAGGAUUAGAUACCCCUGUAGUC
rnacentral:rRNA from 1 species